rnacentral:rRNA from 1 species
UCUUCGGAACAGAGAGAGCGGCGUACGGGUGCGUAACACGUGUGCAACCUACCUUUAUCAGGGGAAUAGCCUUUCGAAAGGAAGAUUAAUACUCCAUAAUAUAUGAACAGGCAUCUGUUUAUAUUGAAAACUCCGGUGGAUAAAGAUGGGCACGCGCAAGAUUAGAUAGUUGGUGAGGUAACGGCUCACCAAGUCAAUGAUCUUUAGGGGUCCUGAGAGGGAGAUCCCCCACACUGGUACUGAGACACGGACCAGACUCCUACGGGAGGCAGCAGUGAGGAAUAUUGGACAAUGGGUGAGAGCCUGAUCCAGCCAUCCCGCGUGAAGGAUGACGGUCCUAUGGAUUGUAAACUUCUUUUGUAUAGGGAUAAACCUUUCUACGUGUAGAAAGCUGAAGGUACUAUACGAAUAAGCACCGGCUAACUCCGUGCCAGCAGCCGCGGUAAUACGGAGGGUGCAAGCGUUAUCCGGAUUUAUUGGGUUUAAAGGGUCCGUAGGCGGACCGAUAAGUCAGUGGUGAAAUCUCAUAGCUUAACUAUGAAACUGCCAUUGAUACUGUCGGUCUUGAGUAAAUUAGAGGUAGCUGGAAUAAGUAGUGUAGCGGUGAAAUGCAUAGAUAUUACUUAGAACACCAAUUGCGAAGGCAGGUUACCAUGAUUUAACUGACGCUGAGGGACGAAAGCGUGGGUAGCGAACAGGAUUAGAUACCCUGGUAGUCCACGCCGUAAACGAUGCUAACUCGUUUUUGGAGCGCAAGCUUCAGAGACCAAGCGAAAGUGAUAAGUUAGCCACCUGGGGAGUACGUUCGCAAGAAUGAAACUCAAAGGAAUUGACGGGGGCCCGCACAAGCGGUGGAUUAUGUGGUUUAAUUCGAUGAUACGCGAGGAACCUUACCAAGGCUUAAAUGGGAAUUGACAGGUUUAGAAAUAGACCCUUCUUCGGACAAUUUUCAAGGUGCUGCAUGGUUGUCGUCAGCUCGUGCCGUGAGGUGUUAGGUUAAGUCCUGCAACGAGCGCAACCCCUGUCACUAGUUGCUAACAUUAAGUUGAGGACUCUAGUGAGACUGCCUACGCAAGUAGAGAGGAAGGUGGGGAUGACGUCAAAUCAUCACGGCCCUUACGCCUUGGGCCACACACGUAAUACAAUGGCCGGUACAGAGGGCAGCUACACAGCGAUGUGAUGCGAAUCUCGAAAGCCGGUCUCAGUUCGGAUUGGAGUCUGCAACUC